CCAUCAUCAUUCAAUCAUUUGAGGCCCCCUAAAAUCAUUCCCUCUGACACCCUUCAGGAUUCUCUCUCUCUCCCUCUCUCUCUCUCUCUCUCUCUCUCUCUCUCUCUCUCUCUCUUUGAAAAUUUAUGAGUCACCACCCUCACCAUACGCUAUACACCAUAGUUGUUAUAGCUUCAAUAUGUGAAGCUCUAAACAGUUGAGCAUAGUCCUCUCAACCCUCACUCACUCCCAU
rnacentral:lncRNA from 1 species